AAGUCGUAACAAGGUCUCCGUAGGUGAACCUGCGGAGGGAUCAUUAACAUACACACAUAUACAUAUGUAUAUAUACACCCUUGAACCCGUACAUAUACACACGUUGAAUGGGUAGACAGAUUGUAGGGUCGCAUAUGUGACCUGGUCUAUCUACCUCCCCAUUUCUUCCCCUUUUAUUUUUCAGCAUCCUCUAUUCUUCAUAUUACAUAUGAUACUCUACUGUGAGUAUAUAUAUAACAUAUAUAUCACUCCUAGCAAUGGAUAUCUAGGUUCUC
rnacentral:misc_RNA from 1 species